rnacentral:rRNA from 1 species
GAUGAACGCUGGCGGCAGGCCUAACACAUGCAAGUCGAGCGGAUGACGGGAGCUUGCUCCUUGAUUCAGCGGCGGACGGGUGAGUAAUGCCUAGGAAUCUGCCUGGUAGUGGGGGACAACGUUUCGAAAGGAACGCUAAUACCACAUACGUCCUAAGGGAGAAAGCAGGGGACCUUCGGGCCUUGCGCUAUCAGAUGAGCCUAGGUCGGAUUAGCUAGUUGGUGAGGUAAUGGCUCACCAAGGCGACGAUCCGUAACUGGUCUGAGAGGAUGAUCAGUCACACUGGAACUGAGACACGGUCCAGACUCCUACGGGAGGCAGCAGUGGGGAAUAUUGGACAAUGGGCGAAAGCCUGAUCCAGCCAUGCCGCGUGUGUGAAAAAGGUCUUCGGAUUGUAAAGCACUUUAAGUUGGGAGGAAGGGCAGUAAGCUAAUACCUUGCUGUUUUGACGUUACCGACAGAAUAAGCACCGGCUAACUCUGUGCCAGCCGCCGCCGUAA